rnacentral:rRNA from 1 species
AUGAAUUUAACGGGGCUAAACCUAACACCGAAGCUUAGGCAAUACAGCAAUGUAUUGGGUAGGGGAGCGUUGUAUACGCGGCGAAACAGUAGCGCAAGCGGCUGUGGAGUGUAUAGAAGUGAGAAUGCCGGAAUGAGUAGCGCGAAUGCAGUGAGAAUCUGCAUGGCCGAAAGCCUCAGGUUUUUGGAGGAAGGUUCGUCCGCUCCAAGUUAGUCGGGAGCUAAGGUGAGGCCGAGAGGCGUAGCCGAUGCACAGACGGUAGAGAUUCCGUCACCACCAAAAGAGUUAAGCACAGGGACACAUAUGAAGUCUCAGAGCCGGGUGUUGGUUCCGGUAGAGAUCGAGGGAAGUUAGUACCGAAGUCUGGGAUGGAAGAUGGCGAGAAAAGCUGUGUGGACUUCUGAGGUGCCCGUACCGCAAACCGACACAGGUAGGUAGGAAGAAGAUUCUAAGGCCAACGGGAGAAGGGUUGUUAAGGAACUCGGCAAAUUGACCCCGUAACUUCGGGAGAAGGGGUGCUCCAGAGAUGGAGCCGCAGAGAAUCGGCCCAAGCAACUGUUUACCAAAAACACAGGUUUGUGCUAAAUCGAAAGAUGACGUAUACGAGCUGACGCCUGUCCGGUGCUGGAAGGUUAAGAGGAGAUGUGCAAGCAUUGAAUCGAAGCCCCAGUGAACGGCGGCCGUAACAAUAACGGUCCUAAGGUAGCGAAAUUCCUUGUCAGGUAAGUUCUGACCCGCAUGAAAGGCGUAAUGAUUUGGGCACUGUCUCAACAGCCCGCCCGGCGAAAUUGUAGUACCGGUGAAGAUGCCGGUUACCCGCGACAAGACGGAAAGACCCCAUGGAGCCUUACUGUAGCCUAAUAUUGGGUUUCGAUGUUGCAUGCACAGGAUAGAUGGGACUCUGGGAAACCAGUGCUUUGGCGCUGGCGGAGAGGCCGUUGGGAUACCAUCCUUGCGAUAUUGGAAUUCUAACCUGCGGCUCUGAAUCGAGUCGGGGGACAUUGUUAGGUGGGCAGUUUGACUGGGGCGGUCGCCUCCUAAAAAGUAACGGAGGCGUUCAAAGGUUCGCUCAGCUUGAACGGAAAUCAAGCAAAAGAGUGCAAACGCAGAAGCGAGCCUAACUGCGAGACUGACGGGUCGAGCAGUAACGAAAGUUGGAGUUAGUGAUCCGGUGGUAUGUGAGUGGAAAUGCCAUCGCUCAACGGAUAAAAGUUACCCUGGGGAUAACAGGCUGAUCUCCCCCAAGAGUCCACAUCGACGGGGAGGUUUGGCAUCUCGAUGUCGGCUCAUCGCAUCCUGAGGCUGUAUUCGGUCCCAAGGGUUUGGCUGUUCGCCAAUUAAAGCGGUACGCGAGCUGGGUUCAGAACGUCGUGAGACAGUUCGGUCCCUAUCUGUCGUGGGCGCUGGAUAUUUGAUGGGAGCUGUCCCUAGUACGAGAGGACCGGGACGGACGUACCUCCGGCGCACCAGUUGUUCUGCCAAGAGCAUAGCUGGGCAAUUACGUACAGAUCGGAUAAACGCUGAAAGCAUCUAAGCGUGAAGCCGACCCAAAGAUAAGAUAUCCCACUGUUUCAAACAGGUAAGAUCCCUUGAAGACUACAAGGUUGAUAGGCACGAUGUGUAAGUGGAGUGAUCCAUUCAGCAAGCGUGUACUAAUAGAUCGAGGGCUUGACCG